rnacentral:rRNA from 1 species
UGCGGAAGUCCAGCAAGGAGCUGAGGUAUUAGGAAUGAUGAGCGAGCUGUCCGGGGUGAGUGUGUUGACAGGGUGCGUAUGCGGCUGGAUAAGUCACGGGUGAAAUCCGAUCGCAUAACGAUAGACGGGCUAUUGAUACUGUAGGGCGUGAGUACAGAUGCCGGGGGCGGAAUGGGUCAUGUAGCGGUGAAAUGCAUAGAGAGGACACAGAACACCGAUUGCGAAGGCAGCUGACGAAACUGUAACUGACGCUGAUGCACGAAAGCGUGGGGAUCAAACAGGAUUAGAUACCCUGUAGUC